CAUCCUCGGCCUUAGGCGUUCUUCGAGUCGUCCCCAUCUCUGCAUCUCUGCAUCCCUUAGACCAGCCUAGGUUAGCUCCAGAACUUUUUCUGUUUACGCGGCUCUAUUUCUAGACUGUGCCGAUCCUCCUUCGUUACAUAUAUGGGCGCGGACGCGGCUCGGAUGUUAGCCAAGAGUCUCAAAGCCCACAAGAGGGAAGGCGUGCAACUUCCGAGUCGACGAAGAAGGCGAGGGUAGAAGAGAUAGGUCCGACCGUGUUUCGCCUUGAUCGCCCAAAGCCCGCGCU
rnacentral:lncRNA from 1 species